UACAGAGGGGGCAAGCGUUGUUCGGAAUUACUGGGCGUAAAGGGCGCGUAGGCGGCCUUCUAAGUCGAACGUGAAAUCCCCGGGCUCAACCCGGGAACUGCGUCCGAUACUGGAAGGCUUGAAUCCGGGAGAGGGUAGUGGAAUUCCCGGUGUAGUGGUGAAAUGCGUAGAUAUCGGGAGGAACACCAGUGGCGAAGGCGACUACCUGGCCUGUUCUUGACGCUGAGGCGCGAAAGCUAGGGGAGCAAACGGG
rnacentral:rRNA from 1 species